CUACCACAUCCAAGGAAGGCAGCAGGCGCGCAAAUUACCCACUCCCAGAACGGGGAGGUAGUGACGAAAAAUAACAAUACGGGACUCUUUUGAGACCCCGUAAUUGGAAUGAGUACACUCUAAAUCAUUUAACGAGUACCAAUUGGAGGGAAAGUCUGGUGCCAGCCGCCGCGGUAACUCCAGCUCCAAUAGCGUAUAUUAAAGUUGUUGCGGUUAAAAAGCUCGUAGUUGGAUCUCAGUUCCAGACGGGUGGUCCGCCUACCGGUGGUUACUGCCUGUUCUGAACACACAGCCGGUUUCUCUUGAUGAUCUUCACCGGUUGUCUUGGGUGACCGGCACGUUUACUUUGAAAAAAUUAGAGUGCUCAAAGCAGUCGCGACGACUGAAUAAUGGUGCAUGGAAUAAUGGAAUAGGACCUCGUUUCUAUUUUGUUGGUUUUCGGAACACGAGGUAAUGAUUAAGAGGGACAGACGGGGGCAUUCGUAUUGCGACGCUAGAGGUGAAAUUCUUGGACCGUCGCAAGACGAACUACUGCGAAAGCAUUUGCCAAGAAUGUUUCCAUUAAUCAAGAACGAAAGUUAGAGGUUCGAAGGCGAUCAGAUACCGCCCUAGUUCUAACCAUAAACGAUGCCAGCCAGCGAUCCGGCUGUGUUCCUCAAAUGACACGCCGGGCAGCUUCCGGGAAACCAAAGCUUUUGGGUUCCGGGGGAAGUAUGGUU
rnacentral:rRNA from 1 species